UACGUAGGGUGCAAGCGUUGUCCGGAAUUAUUGGGCGUAAAGAGCUUGUAGGCGGUUUUGUCGCGUCUGCUGUGAAAUUUCGGGGCUCAACCCCGAACUUGCAGUGGGUACGGGCAGACUAGAGUGUGGUAGGGGAGACUGGAAUUCCUGGUGUAGCGGUGAAAUGCGCAGAUAUCAGGAGGAACACCGAUGGCGAAGGCAGGUCUCUGGGCCGAUACUGACGCUGAGGAGCGAAAGCGUGGGGGAGCGAACAGG
rnacentral:rRNA from 1 species